rnacentral:rRNA from 1 species
UGGGGAAUAUUUCGCAAUGGGCGAAAGCCUGACGAAGCAACGCCGCGUGGAGGAUGAAGGCCUUCGGGUCGUAAACUCCUGUCGACCGGGACGAAAGUAGUCCGACCUAAUACGUCAGGCUAUCGACUGUACCGGUGGAGGAAGCCACGGCUAACUCUGUGCCAGCAGCCGCGGUAAUACAGAGGUGGCAAGCGUUGUUCGGAAUUACUGGGCGUAAAGGGCGCGUAGGCGGCCUCGCAAGUCCCGUGUGAAAUCCCUCGGCUCAACUGAGGAAUGGCACGGGAAACUGCGGGGCUUGAGUUCGGGAGAGGGAAGCGGAAUUCCGGGUGUAGCGGUGAAAUGCGUAGAUAUCCGGAGGAACACCGGUGGCGAAGGCGGCUUCCUGGACCGAUACUGACGCUGAGGCGCGAAAGCUAGGGGAGCAAACGG